UAAAGCCGUGCUGCAACACGUGGCACUCCGAUUUGCUCUCCUGUGUCACAGUGCAAUACAUAAAGCAGCACUGACUUUAAUGUACCAUGUGCUUACACGGAAGGUGAGAUAACCGCCCUUACGAGGCAUGAAUUUGGAAACUGAGCUGUGAUUUCAGGUCAGUCCAAUGCUACAAAUGGCCUACAGGUGAGCACGGGAGCCUGACACCUCACAGAGGCUCCCUGGGAUUGCUGGAGCAUCACGGGAGGAGCAGGAAUUUGGCAGAGAGUUAUAAAAAGAAGACGAAGUAGGAGUUGAAUUAUCACAGAAGAAGAGACUGAUUUUGAGAGAAAGGAGCCGAGAAGGGCAGCACAGCUGACAGCACACGAGGGCUUCUCAAUGGAGCUGCACGGCUCAGCAAUGCCUGCCCAUGCACUGCAGUGUCCAGGACAGCAUCACGUUGUCCCCUCCCAGCACCCUGUGAUGUGCACUGUGUCACCAAGGCUGCUCAGAGGAACUGACCUGCCCAUGGCUGCUUCCUGCAGGUGGCUCUCACUCCAAGCCGAUUUUAUUCAUGUGAAAGUAAUUACUGAUACCUUUUGGGGCACCAUCACAUUUAUUACUGUGUGAAGGAGACAAGUUUUAUUAAGGAUCCAGUUUCAUUAUUUGAAAAAUAUUGCUUGUUAGUGUAACUCAGGUUAGGAAGCUGUGAUGGUUCCCUGGAGGUAACUGAUUAAUAAUCACUGCCAACUGCAUUUAAAUUUCAGUUUUGGCCUUGGCUGACCUGCCUAAAUGAUUCCCUACAGCUACGAAACCACUUUCUAUCGUACUUUGAGUAUUUGGGCACUGUCUGAAUAGUUGAGGCGUGCUGGAGGAAGCGAGCAGCAGUGCUAAUUCUCCUGCAGGUCAAUGUUACGACACAGGGAAAACACACAGCCUUCCCUUUGCAUCUCUGCCAAGCCAGGAGCACGGUCUGAAUGCAAGAAGGCAGGUGAUAGGAAAUAGGAAGGAAUGUCCUCUCCUGAGCCCAGGAGAUGGGUCAGGGUGGAACGUGUGGGCUUCAUGCUCUGUGAACACACUGCAAGUAUUUCAUUCACUUAAAGGGAACCUGCUCCGCAGUCUGCUUUUGUUUAAGAACGUCAGCAGGUACCUGAAGAACACUGCCUGGUGAUUACAGACUCCUGCUUCCAAACCUCCCUAAUACCUCUCACAAGGUUACUAGAAGUCAUUCCACAUGAAAGAAUGUAUUAAAGCUGCUUAAUUAUUUAAUUAGAUGCAACAUCUUUUGUAUGAUGCUAUGCACAGAUGAAAGCUGGGUCUCAAUGAGAAAUAUCUAAUGACUACAUUUAAUAAGCUGUUAAGAAAAUUCAUUUAUGCUAAAUUUUAUUUUACUGGAAAUGAGAGUCAUUAAGAAAGGAUGCAUUAUAUUUUCUUAAUUAGGUUUGGAAAAAAUGAAGGUAUCUUCCAGGAAAGAGGAUCAGGCAAAGGAACCUCAAGUAUUUUACCCCAAUACUUAUAGGCUUAAUGCUCGUUAUCUGAUUUUCUCCAUCUAAGGAAGCUCUUAGACAUAUAGAAAGUGUACGUUCAAAACAAGAUGUGUCCCUGCCCUCCUUGUUCCCUUACAAUUACACACAGACCUGGAUAAAGACAAAAAGCUCUGUCAGAGUAGCUAGAAUGGUUUGGAAUAUUAAUCUCUGUAUGGCAAAUGCACCCAGAAAUCAGUGCAGAUGUGGCCUUUAGGAGCACCCUGACAGAACACCACAGAAACAAAUCCAUGCAAGCUCCUCUUCCAAAAUAACAACUGGAGAAGAUGUCAUGUUAAUGAUGCUAUUAAACACUGCACUACCCCAUGAGACUGCUGGAACCAAAUGCCCAGGAGAAUGUUGGGGCAGCUCUGUUUCACACUGUAACAGUGGCAGAGGUGCAGACACAGAAGGUUUCCAAGGAAGACCCUCUGCAGCUCUUACUGAGAAAUGCUUUGAGAGGUGCCCUUGUGACCUUCAAUAACAUUAACCCAAAGCUUUGGAAGGACAAGUGAUUUGAUUCGGAGCCAUAAAGCAGGAUUAGAGUUUUUUAAUCUAUUUCUCCCUUUCUGUAAAAUGUAGUGAGCAUUUACGGUUAUGGAAGGGACAAGAAGAAAUCAUCCCUAAAUGGGAUGAUGAGCAGAUUUAGCAAGACACGACAUCCAUGGAUGGACACGAAUUUAGCACAGACAUGAACUUCCUCCCUUGUUUUCUCCUCUUAAGCCACACAUAAGUGCUAAGCAAAUGGGCCAGAAAGCUAUUCCAAAUCCUUUCCCUACAUGAGAUAGAAAUGAGUUUCUUCAGAAUGCUAUUAAUGGCUAACCCAUAAGAGGGCUGGUGCAGGGAAAGCCAUGUGAGAGCAGCAGCUUUUCCAAAGCUCAGUUUAGCAAGCUGAAUCACAAACCUCCACUAACUUUACUGGAACAUCAUGCAAUACUGCAUGUUAUAAUACUUCCUCCUUUGAAUGAGCUGGAAAUAAUGAGGAAAUAUCUGCAGUAUCUAAGAAUUUCUGCUUGAGCUAAGCUUCCAAGUCUCAUAACCUGACAUUUCAGAAUCCUCAGUCCUCUGUUUUGUCUCCAGAAACCGGAGCUGCUCACUCAGAUUUCUCAGUACUUCUUCAAAACCAGUUGUUCUUCAAAACCUGGCCUAUUAAUACGGACAUGCCUUGCUGGAAAUGACAGAAAUUAUCAAGUAAAUAAAUAAAUAACCUAGCUCUGGCCCUCAGGAGCAUUUCCAGGGCAGAAUUACUGAUACUCAGAAUGUAUUUCCAGGAUUUUUUAAUUUUUUUUUUUCCUGCCCAGACACUCUUGGUAAGAAUAGCCAAGAUUGGGAGGCAUGGCUUCUUAAUUCACCUAAGCACUCCCCUGGUACUCAGCUCCAGACCCGAGCCAGUAUUCCUGCACAGCACGGGCUCACACAGGUGCUCUCCCUGCUCAGAGCCCUGCAGCCACCUCCUCACCCAGCUCUGCAAGGCUGGGCUGCUGUGACGCAGCUGCAGACCACAAGUGUGGCCCUUCUGCUUCCAUGUGCCCUUCUGCAUGCACAGCCUGCACCACUGUCUGCACCACUGCCUGCACAGCCGCAGUGUUUACAGGUAGAAAAAAAAGACAUCAGAACAGAAAUCUGCAGGAAGCGGCUGAAGUAAAGGUAGAUGUUGAAGUGCUUCUUGCAAAGUAGCCGAAUUGUUGCACUGAGACUCUAAAAAGCAGCCAACCCACCAAGGAGUUAAUCAUUAAUGCUUUAAAAGCAAUUCCUGCACAACAUGACAUCCUGCGGGUGUCACGAGGGGCGUUAGGAGAAGGCUGGAAGGGCUCCAGCACAGCUCUGCACAUCACUUACCCCCGAGACACAGAGAAGUGAAUGCAGAAGUCAGUGGGUGCAUCAGAGCGGCCACAACCAUGGUGCUGUGCUGCUCAGACACCCUGAUGGGACAGGCAGUGCUGUGUGCUGCUAUUACCGACAGUGCAAUGUGACGUGUGCAGAAUCCUAAAGGCAUAGAUUGAAUAAUCAGAUGAUGAGGACACUGAUGUUUGGAAAUGUACAUGGUAAAUGCAGCUCUGGAAUGGCAGUGUGUCUGACACGGUCGCAGUCAGGCUGAAGCAGGACAAGCAGCACUGCCUCUUCUGCAUUCAGUGGAACACUGACUGUGGUUAUGGUCGGUGUGCUCGUGCAGCUGCUGUCAUCAGCACAAAACUGACCAAUGGACUGGGGAGGGGGGAAAAAGCAAUGGUUUUCCACAUGUGGCAAAUUAAACAUGAAAUCCCAAUGUGAUAUGGCUCACAGAAAGACAGAGCAUCGCAGAGGCAGGGAGAUUUAGAACUCUGAAGCAGCCAGGUGCAGGCCAUACUCAGCGUGAUUUACAAAACCCUGCUCAGUAACAGAUCCAACGUAACCAGAAUAACUAAUUACCUUUCCUGACUCACAUACCCUUGCACGGAAGGCAACGUGCCUACUUGCCUUUGCAGAAUAGCCCUAUGCAGUGCCAAAGCUGGAGAGUGAGAAUGCCCUCUGCAUCCGCCUCGCAGGAAUAGCUGUGGGCAUACCCCAAAAAUAGCCAAGGUGUGGGCACUGUGGCGACAGCCUUGUAGGGUUUGUGAGCAAUGCUGGGGCUGCUAGGGAACUGCAAACAAACUGACCGGGCUUCAGCAGAUGCCACAGGGGACUGUAGGAUGACGAUAAGGUCAACGAGAAGAAUACUGCUCAGAGGCAGGUAGAACUACAGAUCAGCAACACGGGAAGUUGGAGCAGCCCUGAGACAAAAGCUCUGUUCUGUGCAGUAUGAGGAGCAGUGCAAGCCUUUGAAAUCAGAUAGCGGCAAACGUCUGCCCAGGUUCACAAAAGCAGCCGCAGAACAACACCAAAUGCAAAUUUACCCUCUAUCUGACUCCCGGAUUCAGGCAGCUCCUUCUACAACUGAGGACUGUGAAAGCACAUAUGAAUGCAUCAAUUACAUCCAUAGCUAACGCUUGCCUCAGAACCUUCAAAAAACAACCCUUUAAUAAUUAAAGCAAAACCGCCCUCCACCACCACCACAACCCCCUCAUCUUGGAGGGAAAGCUGCUUUUUCAGGACACCUUCACGGCCCAACUUUGGCUUUGGCUGAGAUUCGCAGUUCCAUCAGUGCUGCAACAGCUGAUGAACUUCAGGAGCUGCCCGUCUGCUGUUCCCCCAUGUAAGAUGUUGGUAUAUCUCCCUGACGUUACUGCUAGAAAUGGAAAUUCAACUCUCUGCUGAAGAAUUCCUCCUCAUUUCAUCCCACAGACCGGAAAAGAUGGCUCUGCACUCUGAGAGAAGCACUGCCUCUUAAAAAGUGUAUGACCUACAAAACAAGCUGAAUUUUCCCUCGCACGUCAGAAGUCUGUGUGCAACAGAACUCUUUCACUGAAUGAUUUCUAAUGUUUUCCUUUGAAAGUUAUCAAAAUUAAAACAAAUUCCUGAUAAAGCCAAA